CGCAAACUCAGUCAUGUAGCCAAUUAAACAUCACAUUGAUGUCUGACAAAUGCCAAUUAAAUCUUAAAUGUGAUAGGUUAAAAAAAGUUGUAUAUCCAGAUCUUAAUCUACAUUAAUAUGUGGGUCUAUCCUUAUAAGAAAAUAGAAAAUGUAGAAAAACGUUAGACACAAUCACCUAUUUUUAUGUCAACUAAGGGUGCUCAUACCCCGGGGCUUGCUUCAACAUGCCACCAGUUCCAAAAAAAAAAAAAUAGUCCAACGAUAAUCUCACAACGACCUUUACUGGAAAAACAAUCAAUUUUAUUGCAAUCUGGA